GGAGAGAUGACAGAGAGGCCGAUUGUGCAGCACUGGAAAUGCUGUGUGCUGGUAACGGCACCGAGGGUUCGAAUCCCUCUCUCUCCGCCA
rnacentral:tRNA from 1 species